rnacentral:lncRNA from 1 species
GAAGAAAGCAUGGAUCACUACAGUCGUUAAACCCCUAAAAUAAGACAGCUGAAACAAAGUCAGCCUUUGAAAGAGCAAAGAGAAGAGCCCUUUGUCACCAACACGAGUAAUGCAGCAGACUUGUCAAGCCUUCUUGCAUUGCAAAUACCUGCCGUUUGGCUUGCCUUCAUUACCUGCUGCACAUUAGCGAACAGCCCAACACUGAAUGUUUGACUUUUUGAAUGGUCUGUUUUCCUGAGCACUGAUACGAUGCAAUAAAAUGAUUGAAAAAAUGGAACAAACUACCAUGUAGAGAAAGAGCAUAGCACACGUGUACCAAGCCCAAAGUGCCAGCUACAUACUUUGCCUGCAGCAUUUACUUUCUUCACACAGCACCAAGAAACCCAGGUGGGGAUGUCACCUUUUUCACAUAUGUUCUUUGCUGCAUAAAAAAUUGAUAAUCCUAGUGCUGGCAUUGAUGCAGAACUUUUAAGUAAAUACGGCAGAGUUGAUGUAAAUAGUCUUGGCAUGCUGAGCCCUACCCCGUUCCUAUUGCCAAAAUUGUUAUGUAGCAAGUAACCAAAGCAUGUAGAUGUUAAAAGGUAGCUAAAAUAGCAAAGCAUAAAUGUGUUCUUGAGAACUGGAAUUAAUACAUUUUGGUCUUGAAUACGUAUGCUGGGGAGACAUGAAAAACCAACAAGGGGCAGGCUCUUAUUCUUGAUGCCCUUCUCAAUAAAUUCUUGCAAUGGCAUUUAACAGGAGAUAACAGCAAGGGUUGCAUUCUUCUGCCAGCAAACUUUGUUUUUGCCAGUGGAACAGAUUGCAACUGACAGCCUGGUAUCUGGUGCAAAUAAAUAUUUAAAACAGAUACCAGUUUGGUCUCCUGGAUAUCAACAACUGCACGAAGGAUUUAACAGGUGGUUAAGAUGAGCAGCGUCUGAUCUCAUAUAAACUCCCUAAAGCUGUUCAGGUAAGUACUUACUAGACAUAUGUCUCACUGUCUACCGCCCUUUUCUAACUCUCUUCUUAUACAGCUACUGCAAAAUCUCUGUGUUUAUCUUCUCAGCAUUCCUGGAGGGUCACUCGGACACCAGCCCAUUAGAGCAAAACAGAGAUCAACCCCAGGACUGCAAAGUCCGACAUCUGAAUUAGCGGAGGACAUUUUUAGAGGAACUACACGCAAUAUUGGCUUUUCUCGGUUCUUUAAAAGCCACGAGGUUAAGCCCUCACGGCCUCUCCUGGCAUACUCCCACAGUGCAGCAGUGGCAGCUGACCCCAGGGGCCUGUGGCCCAGAGCUGGAGCAGGACCCUCUGCUGUGUAAGAAAGCAGAUCUAAGUUGGAUCAGAGAGGUAUUAAAUUAGGUGUGUUUGUAAUAUGAAGGACUGAAGAUUUAAAUAUUAUAGAAUCAUAGAAAAUCCCAAGUUAGAAGGGACUCACAAGGUAUGAAUUCCAGAAGGCAAAUACAAAGCACCAUAGGCUCUAUUGUCCUAGAUAUGCAGUAAUCUUGAAACAUACCACUUAAUCCGUCAUCAUCAAGGACAAAUUUGCUAGCAUAAACAUGGGAAAUUAUUGGAGCAACAAAAUGCUGGAACUGCUUUUGUUGUUGUUGUUAUCUCAAUUGCAUAAUAUGUCAAAAUAUUUUCUUUUCUUUUUCCCUUCCUUUACCAUUUGGGUCUGUUAUUUAACACUACAGGAAUGUUAA